UAUGAAGUCGUCUAGGGUUCCGCAGCCAUGAGGCUGGUCUGGACCGAGAGGAGACCGCAGCCGAAGCGGCUGUGACACGGAAGGAUAAAAGCCUGGGAGAU
rnacentral:sRNA from 1 species